rnacentral:tRNA from 1 species
GCCCGCCUAGCUCAAUCGGAUAGAGCGUCAGACUCUUACGGCUGCGGGGCCACAUUAAUCACGUGAUCGAAGCGAUCUGAAGGCUGCGAGUUCGACCCUCGCGGUGGGCU